GACGAACGCUGGCGGCGUGCUUAACACAUGCAAGUCGAACGGACAGACAGAGAGCUUGCUCUCUUGAAGUUAGUGGCGAACGGGUGAGUAACGCGUAAUCAACCUGCCCUUCAGAGGGGGAUAACAACGGGAAACCGUUGCUAAUACCGCGUACGAUUCAUGAACGGCAUCGUUUAUGAAUGAAAGGUGGCCUCUAUGUAUAAGCUAUCGCUGAAGGAGGGGAUUGCGUCUGAUUAGCUAGUUGGAGGGGUAACGGCCCGCCAAGGCAAUGAUCAGGAGCCGGUCUGAGAGGAUGAACGGCCACAUUGGGACUGAGACACGGCCCAAACUCCUAAGGGAGGCAGCAGUGGGGAAUCUUCCGCAAUGGACGAAAGUCUGACGGAGCAACGCCGCGUGAGUGAUGAAGGUCUUCGGAUUGUAAAGCUCUGUUAAUCGGGACGAAAGAGUUCUGCGUGAAUAAUGCAGAAAAGUGACGGUACCGGAAUAGAAAGCCACGGCUAACUACGUGCCAGCCGCCGCGGUAA
rnacentral:rRNA from 1 species